rnacentral:rRNA from 1 species
CCUACGGGAGGCAGCAGUGGGGAAUAUUGCACAAUGGGGGAAACCCUGAUGCAGCGACGCCGCGUGAGUGAAGAAGUAUCUCGGUAUGUAAAGCUCUAUUAGCAGGGAAGAAAAUGACGGUACUUGACUAAGAAGCCCCGGCUAACUACGUGCCAGCAGCCGCGGUAAUACGUAGGGGGUGAGCGUUAUCCGGAUUUACUGGGUGGAAAGGGAGCGUAGACGGCAGCACAAGUCUGGAGUGAAAUCCCGGGGCUUAACCCCGGGACUGCUUUGGAAACUGUGCGGCUGGAGUGCAGGAGGGGUAAGCGGAAUUCCUAGUGUAGCGGUGAAACGCGUAGAUAUUAGGAGGAACACCGGUGGCGAAGGCGGCUUACUGGACUGUAACUGACGUUGAGGCUCGAAAGCGUGGGGAGCAAACAGGAUUAGAUACCCGUGUAGUC